rnacentral:tRNA from 1 species
GCCUGGGUAGCUAAGUCAGUAGAGUAUAAGUCUUUUAAUUUGAGGGUCCAGGGCUCAAGUCCCUGUCCAGUCA